rnacentral:rRNA from 1 species
UAGGGAAUUUUCGUCAAUGGGCGCAAGCCUGAACGAGCAAUGCCGCGUGAACGAGGAAGGUCUUCGGAUCGUAAAGUUCUGUUGAAGGGGAAAAAAGAGCGGAGAGAGGAAAUGGUCUCCGAUUGAUAUCCU